CUUUGAGGGACUCCACGUAGUCGAUUGCAAACUGAACACUUCCUUUCACUUCUAGGUUGCCAAAGUCUCCACUGUAAACGCUCAUCACACUGCCGCUCACCUGGGUGCAUCAGAAACAGAUAUAAGCUCUCAGCUACCGGUCCAGCACCACGCCUGCUGCCACGUUCCCACCAUGAGGAUCAAGGACUCACCCUCUGAAAUUGCACAAGAUUCUGGCAAAUUCUAGAAGAAGAAAAAAAUUGCACCUCUCCUUGGUCAGAUGGAGCUCCUGGAAGGAGGGUCUUUGUUUCAUAUACAUUUGCCUUGUGCCUUAAAAAGCAAUGUGCAUGAAGAGUAAAG